UGACCUUCCCCCCUUUCCCAGCUGUCCGGGCCAGGCGCGCUCAGAAGACGCGGCUGUGUGCCUUUCCCGCCUCGCCUUUCUUUUCUUGGUUUCAGUCCCUGGGUUUGCAAGCAAUUCCUCGUUCCCGCUGCCACCGUAUCUGGUAUGUGGAAGAGAGGGACAAAGAAACACGGAGGCUCAGAAAAGUUGGUUGCCCACCUCUUCUUUAUGUCACAGAAUUCUGCCCCUAGAAAGGCAAGAGGAAGAGUAGCCACGCAAAGGAUCUAGGCCACACUGCUCUGCAUGCGGGAUCUUAGUUCCCUGAUCAGGGAUGGAACCCACGGCCCCCCUGCAGUGGAAGUGUGGAGUCUCAACCACUGGACUGCCAAGGAAAUCCCACCACAUUUUAUUUAGCCGUUUAUCAGUUGAUGAACUUUUGAAUUGUUUCCAAUGAACAUUUGAGUUGUUUUUGGUUAUUAUCAAUAAUGCUGCUAUGAACAUUCAUGUACAAGUUUUUGUGUAGACAUAUGUUUUCAAUUCUCUAGGGUAUAUACUUAGGUGUGAAAUUGCUGAGUCAUAUGGUAACUGUAUGUUUAACAUUUUGAGGAAUUGCCAGACUGCGUUCCGAAGAGGCUACACAGCCUCACAU